rnacentral:rRNA from 1 species
UUGGAGGGCAAGUUGGUGCCAGCAGCCGCGGUAAUUCCAGCUCCAAUAGCGUAUAUUAAAGUUGUUGCAGUUAAAAAGCUCGUAGUUGAAUUUCGGGGUUCUACCGUUGGUCGGGCUAACCAGUCUGUACUAGCGUGUAGAAUUCUUACCUUCUGGGGAACCAUCAUGUUAUUAAUUUAGCGUGGUAGGAAACCAGGACCUUUACCUUGAAAAAAUUAGAGUGUUCAAAGCAGGCUUACGUCUGAAUACAUUAGCAUGGAAUAAUAAAAUAGGACGGUGGUCCUGUUUUGUUGG